GCUGGGCUCUGUGUCAUCCAGCUUCUCAUCUGAAAAGGGAGGCCCCCUAGCUGGGCCUCGUCCCUUCAGAAGGGCGCAUGGUGACGCUGAGGAGAUCCCCCAGAAGUCCCAUGGGCACAGCGGGGUGCAGGGGUCCUGACGCAGGCACCUCAGGCGGAAGUGGCCGUGCCUGGACCCAUCAAGUUCAGGGGGAGGCCUUUCUCCAGGUCUCUGCUAACGGCUGAAUUUUUCCCAAAGUGAAUCGAGCUAAAGCUGUAAAUUCUGAGUGCCAUGUCCUGGAGGCAGAUAGACCAACCGAGUCUGAGAAGUGAGGACGAGUCUUUGAGGCACCUUGGCCGUGUCCAACCAGCCCUGGGGGUCCGGGCUCUGGGAGGCAGGGGCUGUGGCCGACAGCUCUGUGUCCCUGCCUCGGCACUCACAGCUGACCGUGAGGAAAGCUGACUUGAAUUCCGAGCCCCCAGGAGCGUGGUGUCUCCAGAUGGAAUCUGAGUGCGGCGUGGUUCAGUUAACGCCCCCCCAUCUGGACAUGCCCGGACCCCAGCUGCCUGUGGUCCCAUCUUGUCCACGGCGCUCCUCCCCAACUAUAGCCAAGAACCCCGAGCGCGGCUACAAGUGUCCAGGAACUGUGGAUACUCAUUGAGCGAGGGUUUGCUCCGUGCCCGGCAUCGUGUGAAGCACUUUACCCGAGGAAGGGUGGUUACAGUUCCCACUGCAGAGUCCAGGAGACAGAAACCCGGGGAGGCGGAUGCACCUUGUAGCUUGCCCCCUCGCUCCCUGCUUUGUGCUCCCGGCAGGUGCCCGUGGCGAGGCUGCCCGGGCCUCCGUAUACUGCCCGUGGCGCUUAAGUGCCAAGGCGCCUGGGCCGGGGACCGAUUUUGUCACCGUGCCACGUGGUGCUCCUCCGUUCCUCCCUGCCCCCAGGUUCGGGCUGAGUCAGAUUCACCAGACCGGAACCCUCUGUCCUCCCCAGUUAGCCUCAUCACUGAUGCCCCUCCUGCACACAGAUGAUCUGUUUCCCCCGUGGGUUAGGAUACCCUGGGUACCCACCAGGAGAGCCAGCUUUCAAAGCUGGGGGUCCUGUCUCUCCCAGGGCCCCUCAGCCCCUCUGGAAAUGAGGCUGACAGGUCCAAGGGCCCUGAACACCACCACCCGCUAAGAGUCCUUGAGUGACAGGCACGUCGGGAUACAUACAGAUUGGGGGGGGGGUACGACCCACUUCUGUCCCUGGCAGCUUCAGUCCCCACUAAUGUGGCUUGUAUGUCGACGAAGGAAGGCACUGAGCGGCCACUGACACACUUAGGGUCAUUCUGAGCCCAGCUAGUGGGUGGCUGACGUGGGGUGACAUAUCCACCUUCAGUGCAUUCGAUGCGGGGUGGGAAGCAGAGUUCGAGAAGGUCACCUGGAAUACGGUGGGCCUUCAACCCAAUAUGACUGGUGUCCUUAUAAAAGGGAAAUUUGGAGGAGCCUGGGUGGCUCAGUCUAAGUGUCUGACUUCAAAUCAUGGUCUCGCGGUUUGUGAGUUCGAGCCCUGCGUUGGGCUCUGUGCUGACGGCUCGGAGCCUGGAGCCCCUUUCGGAUUCUGUGUCUCCCUCUCUCUCUGCCCCUCCCCAACUGGCGCUCUGUCUCUGCCUCUUUCUCAAAAAUAAACAGUGCACAAAUUUUUUUUUUUGGAAAGGGGGAAAUUUGGACACAGACAUGCACACAGAGAAUGCCAGGUGAAGGUCGGUCACGGUGCCAGAAAAGUAUUGGAAGUUGGGAGAGAGGGCCCGGAACGGAUCCUUGCCUGGUGCCUUUGGAGAGACAGCAGGCCAGGCAACGCCUUGAUCUUGGACUUCUGGCCUCCAGAACUGUGAGAAAAACAUUUUUUUUCUGUCGUCUAAGCUACUCAACUUGGGGUACUUUAUCAUGGCGUUCCUAGGACGUGAAUACACUUUCCGCGGGAUAUUGCCUAAUAACACAUGCCUGCACAGCCUUCCUUCUGGAAGCACGCUCCCGCCUUCCUCCCUGGGGACGCUGCCUGCUGCCUCCUGUUCUCACGAGUCCUUGUCACAGGGUGGGGUCCGCUCCUGGGCAAUACAACCUUUCAGGAGCGAUGGCAAACUUAACAGCUCCAACACGUCUGGAGAUCAGAUCUGGCCCCGCUUGGCAACCUCCGGUAGGGACUGCACACCCCAGCCUUGGGUGACGGGACGGGCUGCGGGCAGGACGCGGGACACGUGAGGCUCUGCUGCUGGUUGGCUGUGCACACCUGCUUCAGAAACCUUCCCGAGCCUCAGUCUCCGCAUGCAUAAAAUGGGUACCGUCUCGCACACCUUGCUUACCUCCUGGGGUGGUCAUGAAGGCGGAGGGACGCGGUUUAUUUAGCAAACGGUGCGUGCCGGCAAUGUUCUGACCGUGUGGCAAACCAGUCUUCUACUCCACCCCAAGAGCGCUCAGAAGGGGGUGCCGUGAAGACCCUAUUUCGUUCGUACAGAGGCUAAGUGACUGCUAAAUGUCCCCCAGCUGACAGGCGGGGGCAAUGGGCUUUGCGUCCAGGCGAGCGGACGGCCAAGUGUGUGCCCUUAGCCGACGCGUUUGGCUGCCUCUUGGGUGGCACUGAAAUUCCACACGGUUUUGUCCUCUUUGUUUUUUUCAUAAAGAGGGAGGAGGGAUGGGCACCCCUUGGCUUCUUCUUGGGGAGCUCUCUCAGCCAGCAGCUGCUGCCCCUGGAGGAACCGGGCGCGGGUUGUCACGGCGGCACAGGCUUCCUGACCCGUCUGGCCCGGGGCCAGUGUGCCGGGCCAAACAACCCACCGCCUUUUCUCCUCAGCAGAGGAUUUCCCGUAAGCAGCGGCUCCCUGCCUGUUGGCUCACAGACCUGCCAAGACCCACAGUCAGGAGAUUGCCUGGGCUCCUCCUCCACGGGGCUAGACGACAUCUGGGGGCAGAGGAGGGAGGGUUGGCGCUUCCCAGCUGAGACCUGGGCUACGCUGCCCACCCCACCCCAGUGUGUGGCUGGUGCAUGGGUGUAAGAAAAACCUAGAUCCGGGGGCGCCUGGGUGGCUCAGUCAGCGGAGCGUCCGGCUUCGGCUCAGGUCACGAUCUCACGGUUCCUGAGUUCAAGUCCCGCAUCAGGCUCUGUGCUGACAGCUCGGAGCCUGGAGCCCGCCUCAGAUUCUGUGUCUCCCUCUCCCCCUGCCCUUACCCCACUUGUGCUCUGUGUCGGUCUGUCUGUCUCUCUCUCUCUCUCUCAAAAAUAAAUAAACAUUAAAAAAAAUAGUUUAAGCAAGAAAGAAAAGCCUAGAUCCGGACCCCACCCUCCAGGUGGGAAUCCAGGCAACCAUUCACCUUGAUCCCAAACACCCUCAACCACACAAUGAGCGGAGAUCUGCAACCUGGCACAAGUCCCAGAAUUGUGCCCUGUUUAUUAACUUACUUUAAACCGGACACUUGUCAAACGUCCGUAGCGUGCCUGGCCCUGGGCUAGGUGGACAGAAGGAACACCUGCUCUUAUGGAGAUAAUACCCUAAUGGUGGAGGGGGGUAGAUAAAGGGGGAUAAAGAUUGUUUGAUAAAAAAACAAGACAA